rnacentral:rRNA from 1 species
UUCCGUAGGUAACCUGCGGAAGGAUCAUUGUCGAGACCGAAUAUAUCGAGCGAUUCAGAGAACUUGUGAAUGAGCGAUGGCACUUGCCGUCGCGUAACAGCCGUCCCUGUUGUCGCCCUCAUUGGGGCCAUGAUGGGGGCGAAUAAAACUCAACCCGGCGCAGUUACGCGCCAAGCCAAUGCAAAUAGACACGAGCCCGCAUUGGGUUCGGUGGCGUGAAGUGCUUUUGCACACCACACGGAUCAAAAUGACUCUCGGCAAUGGAUAUCUCGGCUCUCGCAUCGAUGAAGAGCGCAGCGAAAUGCGAUACGUGGUGCGAAUUGCAGAAUCCCGCGAACCAUCGAGAAUUUGAACGCAAGUUGCGCCCGAGGCCAGCCGGCCAAGGGCACGUCCGCCUGGGCGUCAAGCGUUGCGUCGCUCCGUGUCGGCUCCAUCCCACUUGACGGGUGUGCAUGGGGACGGUCGGAUGUGCAGAGUGGCUCGUCGUGCCCACGGGUGCGACGGGCUGAAGAGCGGGUGAUCGUCUCGUUGGCCACGAACAACAAGGGUGGAUGAAAAUUGUGCCUGUGUUGUAUCGUGCCGGCAUGACAAGAGAUCAUACCCUGCGGAUGAUCCCAACCCAAGCGUUAUCCAUAGAUGGCGGCUUGGAAUGCGACCC